UACGUAGGGUGCGAGCGUUAAUCGGAAUUACUGGGCGUAAAGCGUGCGCAGGCUGUUUUGUAAGUCAGAUGUGAAAUCCCCGAGCUCAACUUGGGAACUGCGUUUGAAACUACAAGACUAGAAUAUGUCAGAGGGGGGUAGAAUUCCACGUGUAGCAGUGAAAUGCGUAGAGAUGUGGAGGAAUACCAAUGGCGAAGGCAGCCCCCUGGGAUAAUAUUGACGCUCAUGCACGAAAGCGUGGGGAGCAAACAGG
rnacentral:rRNA from 3 species